ensembl:lncRNA novel transcript, antisense to TRPM1
GAUCUGGCUUCACAGACAGUUGACACAUCUAAAAGAAUCUUUGUUUCCAACUGGACUGACUCAUUGAGAGGAAACCUUCACUGCACCUCACCAGUGCAGACAGAAGACCUGGAGGCAGGACGGGAGGCAUUUUAUACUUCAGCACGAUAUGGGCCCUGACUUUUCAUUUUCUACAUGGAGACAUAUUGCUGGAGGCUCAUCAUCCUGAGGGGAGAAACAUGGAUUUCAUGGUUUUGCCAUAAAAGUAUGCAACAAAGAGUUCC